CCUUGCUCCAAAGUCAUAGAUUAGCUUGAUAGUACUGGCCAAGGAAAGAAAAUGGUGAACUACAAGUUGAGAGAUUGGCUUUUUGCUAGACAACGCUACUGGGGAGAACCCUUUCCAGUAAUUUACUUAGAUGAAACUGGUGAAACUGUGCCUCGCCUUGAAAGUGAGCUACCCCUUUCUCUGCCUGAAUUAGAUGAUUUUUCUCCUACUGGAACAGGGUUACAGGAGAACCCCCUUUGGCCAAAGCAGUGUCCUGGGUAAGAACAAUUGAUCCUGUGACUGGAAAACCAGCAAGAAGAGAAACAAGUACUAUGCCACAAUGGGCUGGAUCUUGUUGGUAAUAUUAUCCAUUACCCCGCUAAAACAAUGUACUAUUUGAGAUUUAUGGACCCUAAAUAUGGCACGGAAUUAGUAAGCAAGGCUAAAGAACGAUAUUGGGGUCCUGUGGACAUUUAUAUUGGUGGAGCAGAACAUUCCGUCUUGCAUUUGCUUUAUGCAAGGUUUUGGCACAAGAUUUAGAGGACGGAUAGGUCUAGUAUGAUGAUGCAUUAGAGCCGGUGUAUGCCCAGCCGGAAGGUCUUCUAGAUGGAGUAGAAGGACAACAGAAGCUUAGUUAUUUUCCUUAUGUAGUAGUUGUUGGACUUUGAAUUAUUUUGUCGUAUUUCCCUCUCAGAACAGUUGAUGUUAAUUUUCUAACUACCCAGUUUUAGUUGUACGUUUUGUAUCAGGACAUGUUGACUCUUUUAUAAUGUCUCGGAUGAUAUUUUUCUUGUGAUAUGUAUCAUGUUGUUCUGGGUUAUUAUAUUCUUGCUAUAUGUGAUUGGGGGACCUGUGAUUUCGCAUUGUAUUAUUGAUUGACGCUUAGAGUAUUCGGUUGAGGAGAAAUGUAUAUUUUUAUUUAUUCUCCACAAUCUAAUACGUCGCAAGCUUGUUCACGUUUCGAUUCUCGGGUAUUUUGGGAAGCAGGACGUGACAGGUUUUUUUGGUGGCCCAUGAAGGUCACGGUCCCAAGUUCCUACCAGUGAGAAUAUAAUGGACAAUUUAGACGCAUAUCAUAUUUCAUCCGUAAGACUAUAGUUAGCCUUUAUCCUAUCAUUUCGAUAAAUUAUGUCUUAGUCCCUACCUUAUCACUUUUUAACUCUGGAGUUUCCCACUGUUUCUUGUCUCGUCACUUCCUUACUACACACUCUUCCUAUAACUUUUCUUUCCUCGUAUCAGUCAUUAUUUUAUGUGUUAUUAUUUUUACACUAUAUUUU